AUGCCCGGAAGGCGCCGGAAAGGCCCGAGGAGGAUCGGCGUAGGAGGAGCCCGCUGACGGAAGUCGUCGAGAAUAGCCGGAGAUCGCCGAGUCAGCCGGAGCCUCGGUUCCCGCUCUCGGCCACGCCUCCUCGCGCACGCCACGCCUCGCGGGCGCUACGCUCAGGCGGCCUCGGGUCAGAUGAGGACAUAAGGAGAAGACCACCAUUUACAUGCUAGGAAAAGAACUCUUAUCAAACAUUUUCUAACACCCUGAUCAUGGACUUCUAUUGCCAAGAACUGUGAGAAAAUGUUUUUCUGUUAUGUAAACCAAAGUCAGCCAUAUUUGUUAUAGUAUUCUGAACAGAUGAAUACAAUUGUACAUGCUAUUUAUGUCUCAUUAUCCUAAGACCAGGUAUUAUGUUUCAUUAUAUUGU